GCUUCGCUGGUGUAAUGGCAGCACGGUGGGUUCUGACAAUAAUUCGCAAUUCAUUGCAAAUGAUAAGAAUGUCCCGCAAAUGGAGGUUCGAUUCCUUCGUGAAGCU
rnacentral:tRNA from 1 species